UAAACAUUUGCAAAAAUGGCUUGGAUGCCAGAAGAAGUUUGACCUUUCCAGAAUUGAUUGUAUCUUCUUUUUUUCCUGAUUUCUGGACACUGCUUUCACAAAUGUCUCAGAAAAGCUCAUUUUUUGAGAUAGAGAAGAAUUGCCCAUGUUUCACAUAUGAAAAUGCACAGAUACACACAGAAGCUGACUUACCAUGAUCACAAGGAAAGUCUACAGUGGAUCAAGAAGCAUGCAGGUGAAAUCUUCUUACCUUGAAGCAAGUGGAAUGACAGCAAAUUUGCAAGGCAUCUAAGAUCAUUUUGGCAUCUAUGCCCAAGGGCUUCCUGCAGUAUGUACAUAUAUCUUUUCCAAUUAUACUCCUGUGUAUAUAAUAUAACAUCAGCUGUCAGAAAAAGAGCUGCUAUUGAAAUCUCAAGCAGAAAAUUGGUAAGGUUAGCACACUGCAUGGGAAAGACAUUUGUAUACUAUACAAUAGCCAUAAUAGAAAAAUGUCAUUUGUGUAUUCUCUCCAUUCCAGUUAACAAGUGUCAUGCACGUGCUCCUGUGAUGGGAAAAUUGCUGAGCUUAAUUGUCAAGUAGCAAAAAUACCUUGGUAGAAAGAAUGGUCUUCUCUGAAUUAAGCUGCUGAAUGUCUGGGAGCAUUUAUAAUAAACAGGGAUAGGGUGAAAGGGAAUGAUUUUAAUGUUUUAAUCUCAAAAGUAAACUGGUUGAAUUCCAACUGCCAUAAUUUGAUCAGUCUGGUUCACAGAAUUCUCUGUGAUGCAGAGGUGCCUAAAAAAACCUUUUUGACUUUCUGCACUGCAUACAGAAUUCAUACCUUGAUGGCAGUUAUAGCAGAUUCGUGUAUAGAACAGUCUACUAUAAUAUUUUUUAUUUAAAAUUUUCUCAGCUCUUGCUGCACUCCUAUGUGACAUCACUCUGUACUUUGUCUAGAUACAACUGUAGGUAUUGUUUUAGCAUUACAAAAUCAAUGACUCUUGCUCCUUGCCUAUCAGUGACAAACUGCUGUAUUAAUAUUUAAUCAUCCCCAGAGUUCCUUAUCCUUUUGUUGGAAAGGAUACAAGUUUUUCUGAUUAGGUAUUUCCAGGUAGUAGGGCUGUCCAAAUUGAAUUAAAAAUACUGGGCACUUUUAACUUCUUUUUCUCCAUGAGGUAAGUUAUUACAGAUUGAGCAAAUAUCCUGCUUAUAUUUGGGAAUGUCUUACUGGUGUGAAAAGAUAGUUUUCAACAGCACUGUCAUGUGAACCUAUUCAUCCAUGCUUGUGCAUAAAUUUGGUCAUUAUUAUUCUCACAAAGGAAGGAAAUUUUGCAGAGUAAGUGGCUGCCUGAGAUAGAAACCUACAGAAUCACAAAGCCAACUUUGUCAUUUAAGGCAUUGGCUCUUGUUUCUACAGAUGUUUUAAAAUGUCAGCUGUGACAAGCCUAACAUAAUAUUAGGCUGCUGAACUGUGGUCAUGAUUUGAUGGCAAGAUCUCACUGAAAGCGACCUUUGUACGAAAAGCUGUCUCAUGAUGGUGACUUCCAGGGCUCUCUUUUGUCUGAAGACUUGAAUGCUUAUGUAAAUGUCUGUGUCCUUUGGUACUCUACAAUGUUAUUAAUGUGUUCUUACCGAUCAGAAGUAGAAUAAACAGUUUUGAUAGUAUUUCCAGUUAUAUUUUCUUCAUAGGCACCAAAUGAUGAUUUGCUGUGAAGCAGAGAGUACAUAGCUAUCACUAAACAGUACUACAUUUUUUUAAAGACUUCACUACAUCGAUGAUAAUAUGCAAAAUAAACUAAGACUACAUGCUUGUAAAAAAAUCGUACUUGGUGAUGAGUUCUUUUUCUGGGGUUUUUCACAAUCAAGAAUAAUGUAUCAAAUAACAAGUGUAAAUUAGUAAUAUAAUAACAUUUGUAAUAUAGCAUCCUUAGACUGUGUUCUAUUUUUGAAUGAUCCUUCAGCACUUCAAAAUUAAAUCCACAAGCACAUUGAGCAAAAUUUACAUAACAGUAUUUGGUUUCCUAUGCUGAUAUCUCAGCCUAAAUUAUACAUAUCAGAAAAUGGUGACAGACAAAAUUUUUUCCUCUUCUUCUUUCACUUGUCCUCAAAAAGCUGUCAAACAUCCAAACAAAAUUACAGUAUGUCCCUAGAAUUAGAGUCUUCAUAAUACAGGAUUUUCAGUGUAUGAUUUGUGUUCACUACAGUAACUGUAUUGUUCCUUAUAUCAGAGUAAAAGGAAUAUAGUGAAUUUAAUUAUCAGGGAAGUUAAAUCUUCCAUUUUUAACAGUUCCAUUUCCAAGUUUCUCAAAUGUCAGUUUUGUUUCCGUGAAAGGAAUGAACAUGUAUGUGACAGCUGAAGUAGUAAUCUGCCAUAUGUGUUUUGAAGAUUUCUGAAUUAAUUUAUUUAUCCUAUUCUCCAAAAAUUCUUAAGGUAUAUAGUAAUUAUAAAACGCUUAAUCUCACUCUUGAAUAAUGUUCUGCAACAUUAGGAGCAAUUGUUUAUAAUCAUGUGUAUUUACCAAAUGUUGUUUUUUUCCAGGAAAUACAACAGAUUGAUAACAUGUGUAAGGUGUUACGAAACUCAGAUACUCUUUUCUACAUACCUGUAUUUUGUAAAGUACAUAUGUCUUAUUUGAUUUCUGUGCAACACCAGAAAUAUAUUUAAAUUGCAGCUACUGAUAAACUGAAAUGAUAAAUGUUUUAUUAAUAUUUCAUAGAACAUAACAAGGGGCUUGUUAUUUAAUCAGAAUGAGUUUGCUCACCACAGAGGAAAUAUUUCCUCAAAUGAACACCCAGUGUUCCAUUUACAUUUCAGGUGAGAUGAAAGUAAGCUUACAAAGUAGGAAUGCAAACUAAAGCUAAGUGAUCACCUUUUGAAAGAGUUUCUCUGGCUGAGAAAUUCACUUGACCAAGAAUGUGCAUAACAUAUGUCACAGGGUGGAGUGUAUUUAUAGUACAAUUAACCAAAGUUUCUAAAGUGGCAAGGAAUAUAAUUUCUUUGUUCCUGUAAAGUAUGAGCCUGUGCUUGUUAUUUUUGUUGUUAAGCUUAUUUUUUCCCAAGUUUUCAAUUUAACUCAUAUUUAACUGUGGAAUCUCGGGCAAAGUGAGUACUGUGCAUUGGACACUCAACAUAAUAUAUGUAUGUAUGUAUAAUACGUGCUGUAUGCCAGAAAGUAGCAUUAUCUUACAGGAAGUUGUAUAGAGAAAAAUGCUUUCCUCAAGUGUUCUAGUGUAGAGAACAGCAUCCCUCGGAUUUUACUAUCUGUAUUAUGGUUGAAAUACACAAAUAUAUAAAACCACAGCUUUGGUAGAAAACUACAACUGGAGUGUAUAAAAUAAAAAUUCUGAAGCUACAGCAAA